rnacentral:rRNA from 1 species
GAUGAACGCUGGCGGCGUGCCUAAUACAUGCAAGUCGAGCGAACGGACGAGAAGCUUGCUUUUCUGAUGUUAGCGGCGGACGGGUGAGUAACACGUGGAUAACCUACCUAUAAGACUGGGAUAACUUCGGGAAACCGGAGCUAAUACCGGAUAAUAUUUUGAACCGCAUGGUUCAAAAGUGAGAGACGGUCUUGCUGUCACUUAUAGAUGGAUCCGCGCUGCAUUAGCUAGUUGGUAAGGUAACGGCUUACCAAGGCAACGAUGCAUAGCCGACCUGAGAGGGUGAUCGGCCACACUGGAACUGAGACACGGUCCAGACUCCUACGGGAGGCAGCAGUAGGGAAUCUUCCGCAAUGGGCGAAAGCCUGACGGAGCAACGCCGCGUGAGUGAUGAAGGUCUUCGGAUCGUAAAACUCUGUUAUUAGGGAAGAACAGAUGUGUAAGUAACUGUGCACAUCUUGACGUUACCUAAUCAGAAAGCCACGGCUAACUACGUG